AUGAACGCUAGCUACAGGCUUAACACAUGCAAGUCGAGGGGCAGCAUGGUCUUAGCUUGCUAAGGCCGAUGGCGACCGGCGCACGGGUGAGUAACACGUAUCCAACCUGCCGUCUACUCUUGGACAGCCUUCUGAAAGGAAGAUUAAUACAAGAUGGCAUCAUGAGUCCGCAUGUUCACAUGAUUAAAGGUAUUCCGGUAGACGAUGGGGAUGCGUUCCAUUAGAUAGUAGGCGGGGUAACGGCCCACCUAGUCUUCGAUGGAUAGGGGUUCUGAGAGGAAGGUCCCCCACAUUGGAACUGAGACACGGUCCAAACUCCUACGGGAGGCAGCAGUGAGGAAUAUUGGUCAAUGGGCGAGAGCCUGAACCAGCCAAGUAGCGUGAAGGAUGACUGCCCUAUGGGUUGUAAACUUCUUUUAUAAAGGAAUAAAGUCGGGUAUGGAUACCCGUUUGCAUGUACUUUAUGAAUAAGGAUCGGCUAACUCCGUGCCAGCAGCCGCGGUAAUACGGAGGAUCCGAGCGUUAUCCGGAUUUAUUGGGUUUAAAGGGAGCGUAGAUGGAUGUUUAAGUCAGUUGUGAAAGUUUGCGGCUCAACCGUAAAAUUGCAGUUGAUACUGGAUAUCUUGAGUGCAGUUGAGGCAGGCGGAAUUCGUGGUGUAGCGUGAAAUGCUUAGAUAUCACGAAGAACUCCGAUGCAA
rnacentral:rRNA from 1 species